rnacentral:rRNA from 1 species
CCACCUGUUCCCAUUCCGAACACAGAAGUUAAGCUCAGCUGUGCCGAAAAUACUUGGCGGGAAGCUGCCUGGAAAGAUAGGUCGUCGCCGACA